GUGGAUGCAGCUCAAUGACAGAGCAUGUGCUUAGCAUGCAUUAGGCCUUGGGUUCAAUCCCCAGCAUUCAAG
rnacentral:tRNA from 1 species